GCUGGGCGUGGUGGCGCACACCUGUAAUCCCAGCUACUGGGGAGGCUGAGACACAAGAAUGGCUUGAACCUGGGAGGUGGAGGGUGCAGUGAGCUGAGAUCGCACCACUGCACUCCAGCCUAGGUGACAGAGUGAGACUCUGUCUCAA
ensembl:misc_RNA Metazoa_SRP Metazoan signal recognition particle RNA